rnacentral:rRNA from 1 species
UGAAGAUUCAACUAGGAUACACCUGUUCCCAUGCCGAACACAGAAGUUAAGCUUCUUAGCGCCGAUUGUAGUGAAGGGUUUCCCUUUGUGAGAGUAGGACGUCGC